UAACUGGAGGAAGGUGGGGAUGACGUCAAGUCAUCAUGGCCCUUACGGCCAGGGCUACACACGUGCUACAAUGGUCGGUACAAAGGGUUGCCAAGCCGCGAGGUGGAGCUAAUCCCAUAAAACCGAUCGUAGUCCGGAUCGCAGUCUGCAACUCGACUGCGUGAAGUCGGAAUCGCUAGUAAUCGUGAAUCAGAAUGUCACGGUGAAUACGUUCCCGGGCCUUGUACACACCGCCCGUCACACCAUGGGAGUGGGUUGCUCCAGAAGUAGCUAGUCUAACCGCAAGGGGGACGGUUACCACGGAGUGAUUCAUGACUGGGGUGAAGUCGUAACAAGGUAGCCGUAGGGGAACCUGCGGUUGGAUCACCU
rnacentral:rRNA from 1 species